AUUGACUCUUUGAUGUCCUGCAGGAAGUUUUGGCCAGAGGAGUUCUGCUGCCCUUAAUUAACCAGCUGAGUGACCCUGAUUACAUCAACCAGUUCAUCAUCUGGAUGAUUCGGGACUCCAGCUGUAACUACGAGGCCUUCUUGAACAUCUUAAAGCUGACAGACAAAGCAGCCGAGCUGGAGGCCGUCAAAGACAAAGUCCUGGAGGAGCUUCAGUACCUCCGAUCUCUGGACACGGGAGGAGACGAUAUCAACUUCAUAAAGAAUCAAAUCAAUAGUUUGCUCUUUGUGAAGAAAGUCUGUGAAACACGGAUACAACGG